GCCGGCGUAGCUCAACGGCAGAGCAAUCGCCUUGUAAGCGAUAGGUUGUGGGUUCGACUCCCUCCGCCGGCUCCA
rnacentral:tRNA from 3 species